UACGUAGGGGGCAAGCGUUGUCCGGAAUCAUUGGGCGUAAAGCGCGUGUAGGCGGCCCAGUAAGUCCGCUCUGAAAGCCCGGGGGCUCAACCCCGGGAGGCGGGUGGAUACUGCUGGGCUCGAGUCCGGAAGAGGCGAGUGGAAUUCCUGGUGUAGCGGUGAAAUGCGCAGAUAUCAGGAGGAACACCGAUUGCGAAGGCAGCUCGCUGGGACGGUACUGACGCUGAGACGCGAAAAGCGUGGGGGAGCAAAACAGG
rnacentral:rRNA from 1 species